rnacentral:rRNA from 1 species
UACGUAGGGUGCAAGCGUUAAUCGGAAUUACUGGGCGUAAAGCGUGCGUAGGCGGUUCUCCAAGUCCGUUGUGAAAGCCCCGGGCUCAACCUGGGAAUGGCAGUGGAAACUAGGGGACUGGAAUCUGGCAGAGGGGGGUGGAAUGCCGCGUGUAGCAGUGAAAUGCGUAGAGAUGCGGCGGAACACCGAUGGCGAAGGCAGCCCCCUGGGAUAACACUGACGCUCAUGCACGAAAGCGUGGGGAGCAAACAGG